GAUGAAGAACGUAGCGAGAUGCGAUACUUGGUGUGAAUUGCAGAAUCCCGUGAACCAUCGAGUCUUUGAACGCAAGUUGCGCCUCAAGCCAUUAGGUUGAGGGCACGUCUGCCUGGGCGUCACAUAUCGUUGCCUGAUGCCAGUUUCCUCGUGAUGGGUGACUGUGCAGGGCGAAUGAUGGCUUCCCGUGAGCAUUGUUGCCUCAUGGUUGGUUGAAAAUUGAGUCCUUGGUAGGGAGCGCCGUGAUAGAUGGUGGUUGAGUGACGAACGAGACCCAAUCAUGUGAGACCCCUACCGAAUUUGGCCUUCAUGACCCACAUGCGUCUUUGGAACGCUCAUGACGAGACCUCAGGUCAGGCAGGGCUACCCGCUGAGUUUAAGCAUAUCAAUAAGCGGAGGA
rnacentral:misc_RNA from 1 species